rfam:Legionella sp. LEGN contig_42, whole genome shotgun sequence.
CCAUCUAUGCCACUAGAUGAACCUAGGAUCAUGAAUAAAGUAGCUGAUCUGACAAUGUAACGAAGGAAUUUUUUUCCGGGAAUCAAAUCGUGAGCGAGUAGGGUCAGAUCUUGCCCUUUGC